rnacentral:rRNA from 1 species
AUUGAACGCUGGCGGCAUGCCUAACACAUGCAAGUCGAACGAGUGGCGGACGGGUGGUUAAUGUCUGGGACACUGCCUGAGGGAGGGGGAUAACUACUGGAAACGGUAGCUACUACCGCAUACCAUCAGCGGUGCCCAUAUGGGAUUAGCUUGGUGGUGGGGUAACGGCUCACCAAGACGACGAUCCCUAGCUGGUCUGAGAGGAUGACCAGCCACACUGGAACUGAGACACGGUCCAGACUCCUACGGGAGGCAGCAGUGGGGAAUAUUGGACAAUGGGCGAAAGCCUGAUGCAGCCAUGCCGCGUGUAUGAAGAAGGCCUUCGGGUUGUAAAGUACUUUCAGCGGGGAGGCGUUACCUGCAGAAGAAGCACCGGCUAACUCCGUGCCAGCAGCCGCGGUAAUUC